rnacentral:pre_miRNA from 1 species
CCCUGGGUUUCCGUUCGUCUUAUAUGAAAUUAUUUUAUAAUUAGUAUUUUUAUUGUUGUUAGAUGAUAAAAUAUGAUUAAUACUUUAUGCGUGACUUGUUUUUUUAAUUUUUUUUAAAUAAGACGGACGGUCAAAUGUUGGAUACGGAAACCUAAG